GAUGAAGAACGCAGCGAAAUGCGAUAAGUAAUGUGAAUUGCAGAAUUCAGUGAAUCAUCGAAUCUUUGAACGCACAUUGCGCCCCUUGGUAUUCCGAGGGGCAUGCCUGUUCGAGCGUCAUAUUAACCACUCCCGCUUGCGGGGUCUUGGGCUUCGCCUCCGGGCGGGCCUUAAAAUCAGUGGCGGUGCCGUCGGGCUCUACGCGUAGUAAAUUUUCUCGCGAUAGGGUCCCGGUGGAUGCUUGCCAACAACCCCCAACUUCUUAAGGUUGACCUCGGAUCAGGUAGGGAUACCCGCUGAACUUAAGCAUAAUCAAUAAGCGGAGGA
rnacentral:misc_RNA from 1 species